CUCUCUAUCAGUGGAAUGCCUAAACGCUUUGCCUUUCAGAUUUGCACAAAUGGGAGAACAAAUUGCUACGUGUUCUGCUGCCCUCUCGUUAUGGACUGCUUCCAUGUUAUCCAUCUGCAAGGAGUGUGUAUGACACUUUACAUGGAUCUCCCAACAGAUCGAAUGUGCCGGGCUUCCAGGAUUGCCUACUGAAGGAAUAGGCCAGAGACACCAAGUUUCUCCGUU